rnacentral:rRNA from 1 species
UACGGGGGGGGCAAGCGUUGUUCGGAAUUACUGGGCGUAAAGGGCUCGUAGGUGGCCAAUUAAGUCAGACGUGAAAUCCCCAAGCUUAACUUGGGAACUGCGUCUGAUACUGAGUGGCUUGAAUUCGGGAGAGGGAUGCAGAAUUCCAGGUGUAGCGGUGAAAUGCGUAGAUAUCUGGAGGAAUACCGGUGGCGAAGGCGGCAUCCUGGACCGGCAUUGACGCUGAGGAGCGAAAGCCAGGGGAGCAAACGGG